GGUGGCUCAGUUGGUAGAGUGCUUGCCUUGCAUGCAUGAAGCCCUGGGUUCGAUUCUUCAGCACCA
rnacentral:tRNA from 1 species